rnacentral:misc_RNA from 1 species
AAGUCGUAACAAGGUUUCCGUAGGUGAACCUGCAUCCAACGUUAAACCCCCCGUGAACCUUCAGUGCGCUCGCACUUUCUUAGAAAAGGUAGCAAUCCCUGGUAAAUCAUUGCCGAACAGUUUUGAUUCAGGGACUUCUGCGUAGACUGUGCUUGAGCGUGAGGCAAGUGGCCUGGCAUUCCUCUGCUUGUUGGUGUCUGAAAGUGUCACCAGCUCUGUACGAAUGGCGCAGUCACGAUCGCUAGAGGCCGACACGGCCGGCGACCGGGUCACUGGGCGCGAGCCCCCCUCGUCACCUUUGCAUGAAAACGGGCCUGCGCUUAAUUGUGCGGCCACCAAACUCGAACAACUGUUAACAAUGGAUAUCUUGGUUCUC